UUAACCGUAUAUGUUUUGGUUUUUUUGUGUUAUUCACGUCUCCAGAGCUAACCGUACAGAUGUUGUGAUGGGGUCCUUCACUGGUCCUUGGCUGAUUGCUGAUAGGGGGAGAGUUUAAUAUAAAUGGGAUGCACAAAACUGGCGAUGUGAUUCUAGGUGGGAUUUUUCAAAUCAACUUAUUUUCUGCUGAUCCUGACCUGACUUUUACCUCAGAGCCACAGCUGCCUACCUGUUAUGGUUUGGAAAUUAUAGGAUUGAGGCAGGCUCAGACCAUGGCCUUUGCUAUUGAUGAGAUCAACAGAAACUCCAAC